rnacentral:rRNA from 1 species
UACGAAGGGGGCGAGCGUUGUUCGGAUUUACUGGGCGUAAAGGGCGCGCAGGCGGCUCAUUUUGUCAGGCGUGAAAGCCCCGGGCUUAACCUGGGAACUGCCCUUGAUACUGGCGGUCUCGAGUCCGGGAGAGGUGAGUGGAACUGCGAGUGUAGAGGUGAAAUUCGUAGAUAUUAGGAAGAACACCAGUGGCGAAGGCGGCUCACUGGCUCGGUACUGACGCUGAGGCGCGAAAGCGUGGGGAGCAAACAGG